ACUAGUGUCGCUAGCGAACACGCGAAUGUAAACAAACAGCUAAAAAUAGGCCCAAUUCGGAGAUUUAUAACUUUUCAGAAAAUUGCUUGCAGACGAGUUUUAUUCCCGAUUACUUAACUUUAGUAGGUAUACUUUCAAAUUACAUGCCUUUUGAACUUCAGAUAAGUGCCACUUUUGAGCUAUUUUAAGUAAAAUAUGAGCAAUUUUCAGCCUCUCGUCGCCAUCUUGAAAACAUAGUUUCGUAAAACUAUAAAAAAUUCGUAUUAAGCAAAUAAAUUUGUUCAAUCUCCAUGUAAACGAGAGUAUUAGUGUUAAUCUUGCAUGUGAACAGUAACUGGAGGGGAUAAACGCAUCACAACGUUUUUAAAAAAUCAGAUGAAUUCUUGUAAAAUUCCCCUUCAUUUCCGGUCCGAAAAUAUUCUCGCAAGGUCAAAUUUCAACAUGGCUAUAACUCCUAUAAAACAGAAAGUUGAAACGUUCUGAAAGAAGCUCGA